AUAAGCCCUAAUGACUAAUAAAAAAAUUAUGAAAGAAAGAUACGACAACUUGGUUGAUGGCUUUAUAAAGUGACUAAGUUUUACACUACUUAGUUAUAUAAUUGAUUGCAAUAAGUAUGUAAUAAUCUCAAGUGUGUGUGGCAAGUCAUAAGAUUAGGCCAAUAGAAUUGAUACAUCAUUGAUAAAAUGGCUGUAUAGUGAGGAGUGGCUCAAAUUACAUGCAAAAAUAAUGAAGUAGCUACUCUUGUCAUUGGCAAGCAUUGCAAUGGGCAACAAAUCAAAAUACAUCCUAAAUUAUUGUUGACUAUUAAUACUGAGAAAUAUAGAUUUUUUUGGCUAUUAAAAAUUUUCAAAAAUUCCAUCUAAAGGAUUUGUAUGACAUGCUUUUAAAACAAGGUGAACUUAUUUCAAUGUGAUACAAUAUCAGAAGAUGUUGUUAAUAAUAAAAGAUGUCAUUGAUGAAUG
rnacentral:lncRNA from 1 species